rnacentral:rRNA from 1 species
GACGAACGCUGGCGGCGUGCCUAACACAUGCAAGUCGAGCGAAUGAAAUUCCUUCGGGAACGGAUUUAGCGGCGGACGGGUGAGUAACACGUGGGCAACCUGCCUCAUAGAGGGGAAUAGCCUUCCGAAAGGGAGAUUAAUACCGCAUAAGAUUGUAGUACCGCAUGGUACAGCAAUUAAAGGAGCAAUCCGCUAUGAGAUGGGCCCGCGGCGCAUUAGCUAGUUGGUGAGGUAACGGCUCACCAAGGCGACGAUGCGUAGCCGACCUGAGAGGGUGAUCGGCCACAUUGGGACUGAGACACGGCCCAGACUCCUACGGGAGGCAGCAGUGGGGAAUAUUGCACAAUGGGGGAAACCCUGAUGCAGCAACGCCGCGUGAGUGAUGACGGCCUUCGGGUUGUAAAGCUCUGUCUUCAGGGACGAUAAUGACGGUACCUGAGGAGGAAGCCACGGCUAACUACGUGCCAGCCGCCGCGGUAAAAC